GUGGACGCAUCACUGGUGUUCGGGUUGUCAUGCCAAUGGCACUGCCCGGUAGCUAAAUGCGGAAGAGAUAAGUGCUGAAAGCAUCUAAGCACGAAACUUGCCCCGAGAUGAGUUCUCCCUGAGACUUAGGGUCUCCUGAAGGAACGUUGAAGACGACGACGUUGAUAGGCCGGGUGUGUAAGCGCAGCGAUGCGUUGAGCUAACCGGUACUAAUGAACCGUGAGGCUUAACCUU
rnacentral:rRNA from 1 species